rnacentral:rRNA from 1 species
UACGGAGGGGGCUAGCGUUGUUCGGAAUUACUGGGCGUAAAGCGCGCGUAGGCGGACCUGCAAGUCGGGGGUGAAAGCCCGAGGCUCAACCUCGGAACUGCCUUCGAUACUGCGGGUCUCGAGUCCGGGAGAGGUGAGUGGAAUUCCGUAGUGUAGAGGUGAAAUUGUAGAUAUUAGGAAGAACACCAGUGGCGAAGGCGGCUCACUGGCCCGGUACUGGACGCUGAGGCGCGAAAAGCGUGGGGAGCAACAGGGAUUAAGAAACCCUU